AUGUUAUGGUUUCUCUUCAGAAGGAACAAAUCCUUGGACUUUUACUAAAGACUUCCGUGAAGAGGAACAGUUAUGAGUUGGUAACCACAUUUUUUUGAGGCCUUGCUUAGGCAAGGCU